AGAGAAUGAGCUGGAAGACAGAGAAGGUCAUGACCAGCCAUGUAGUUUCUGGAAUUAGCUGACUGGCACAGUUUCUUACUAGCUAUGUAACCUUGGGCUGGUUACUUAAAGGUUUCCCCAUCUGAUAAUAGAGAUAUAACAGUAUCUCAACUCAUAGAGUGGUUGUGAGAACCAAGCAGCAUACUUCAUAGAGACCCUCGCACAUACAUGUGCAUUUUUAGUAUUCUGAUUAUGCACCCCAAUCCACUCACUAGCUUUGUGCCCUUGGUAAAUUACCUAACCUCUCUGAGCUUCCUCAAAUGUAAACUGGGAAAUCACAAUAUCCAUUUUACAAGAUGGGCUUUAUAUAAAGGAGUGGCAUGUAAAAUUCUUAGCCCAGUAUUUGACCCGUGUGCAUAUUAAAAAAUAGUUACUCUUCUAAUUAGUUUUAUUUGUAUUGAGAUAAUUCAUUCUAACUUCCCAUAGGUACAUUCUCUAUUUAGCCAUCUGCCAGAUCUCAGAAUCUCCUUUCCCCACCCUCCACAGGCCCGAGGCUAUGGGGACAGAUGACAGAAGAUGGGGAGGCUCAUCUCACUCUUUAUUUCAACAUGUUAUGCUUCAACAGCAGGAGGUCACAUGGGUGAGCAUCAUCCAAUACAUUGAGGAACUGAGUAGAACAAAAAGGUGAAGCUGGGACAUCAUCUUCUGCCCUUAGACAUCACUGCCUAGUUCUUUAGCCUUCAGACUCAUACUGAACUACACCACCAGCUUUGCUACUUCUCCAAAUUGCAGACGACAGAUUGUGGGACCUCUCAAUAUACAGUAUAAUGACCUAUAUACUGUCUUGAUAUAUAAAGGUUUCAGUUGGUCUAAUGAUCUGGUUAACCUGCAGCAUCGGGCUCCUCACCAUCUCAGGCCGAGUGAGCGUCGCCUGUUACCUGGAUCACUGCAGGGGCCUCCUGACUGACCUCCCUGCCUCCCCCUUACCCGCGUGGGGCUCCUUCUUCAAACAGCAGCCAGGGCUGUGCUUAAACACGGACAUCAAAACAUGCUGGUCCUCUGCCCGGCGCCUGGCAGGGCUCUCUGUCUGACUCAGAGCGAAAGCCAGUGUCUGUCUGAAGGCCCCGGAGGCCCGCGGUGGCUGGGUCCCACAUGUGACACUGUUGCUCUGCACCGUGGUCACUGUUCUGGCCACGCUGCCUUCUCACUGUUCUUUGAACACACCAUGCGUUGUCCAUUCCCUCUGCCUUGACUGCUGUUUCCUAUGUAAAGGCACCAUUGCUUCUCUCAUUUCCUUAAUGUUUGUACUUAAAUGUCACCUUCUCACGGAGACCUCCCCUGCCCACCUUAUUUACAAGCGCAUUCUGUCCCCCACUCCAGCUCUCCUGGUACUCUUUACUGUGCCCUGUGGUUUAUUUUUUCCAUAAAGCUUAUCACUUUCUAAUGUA